UCGCUACUUUCUCUCCCUAUAAUUUUCUCCCUCUAGAUUAUUUCUCUCUCUUCAUGAAUUUUUUUCUCUAGGAUUGAUUCAGUAAAUGGAUUACUUUUAAUAAUUUUGAUCUGAUAUUAGUGAAAAGAAUCCUCAUUUGUGAUCGUUGGGCAGCUUAUCGAUAUUGAUCCUAAUCAGAUUAGAUUUUUCUAGAUUUAGUUAUCCAUAAU
rnacentral:lncRNA from 1 species